AGCUGUUUCGGAUAUUUCGACUCCUGGCCUGGCUUAUUUCGUUUCGGCGCUGCUGAGACCUCCUUUCGCGGAAUAUUACUGACAGUGUACGAAGAACGCGAGUUCACGAAAAUCGUGGACUACCAGUUUGAAGUCAUUGAACUACUUCCAAAAGUUGUAUCGACAUCAACAGGAUUACGAUUUCAGUGCAAUAUGAUGCAGGAUGACCUUAUCACGAUAACCCAUGAUUAUAAACCAUUAUAAACACAGAAUCAACAAAAACAUCUGCGACAAGUACCUUGUUACAUUUCUCAAAUAAAUCUGAUCGAGGGUGGGGAAAUCUGAAAUAUCUGAAAGGCAAGACAAUUUUAUGACAGUCAUG